rfam:Roseiflexus sp. RS-1, complete genome.
AUUUCAGCAAUUUCGGCUCGUUGAAGAGCACUGAAAC